GGACAAGAGCACCGGGGCUCUGUGGAUGCGCGCCGGGUGCCGAACCUGGGGUCCACCGACCCAAAGCCCGCGGACUGCGCGGGGCAUCCGGGCCGGCGGGGAGGGAGGCGGGCCGCGCGGGAGCGCGCUCGGCACAGAGUGUUCCCGAACACCGCGGGAGCGCCUGCCAAGUUCGCAGCGGGCCUGACGCGGAAACGUAGAUAAUGAGGCCCAAGGGCGGGCCCAGGCGCCCUGCGGGCCCCCAGGCUCUGAACUGCCGGAGGAGGGGAGACGCGCCGUACCUCGUGCCGGGAAGGCCUGGAGAGGGAAUCCCCGAGCGACCCGCUGGCCUACCUGCGGGAACCUCUUAGAGUAUUGCGUUGGUUUCUACCAAACAUCUUCACCAUUUUCAAAUGAAGGUACGGUUCCUGCAACCCCACGAGGGAAAGUACCAGGAACUGACAAGGGCGCCCUCUGUAGUAACCACUGGAAUCCCAGCUUUGAGAAACUCUGAUGUCUUUGACAGAAGAGUAACCAGAGAAAGAAAAAGAAGAAAGAAAUGGAGCACAAUCGAAUGCUCAAACUAUGAACUAUCUGCGUUCAUACUUCGCAACGGGUGUCAGGAGUUCAUGCAUUUCCCUCCACUUAUAAAACUCGUCCAAUCUGUGAGUUUUGGGGGGGUGCUCUGGGCAGCUGGGUUCCCAGGUUAAGAACUGAAAAUCUAGGCAAUUUGAAUACUCCAGAGACCUUACUUUGUCAACAAGAACUGCAUGAACUGUCCGGAUGACUCUCCAACAACCUCGCUUUUACGGCUCUGGCCCGGCCUCCCUUGCAGCCACACUGGCCCUUUGGCUGCUUCCUGACCCCUCUGAUUACCAUGGUAUCUCAGUGCCUUUGCAUUUGUUGUGGCUUCUGCCUGGAAUGGUCCCGCCGCCCGCGGACUGCCACAGCGCUCCGCUCUAACUCGUUCAGAACUGGCUGCCGGCCCCAGAGUACACCAUUCAACUUGAGCUGCCUGACAUUCCGUUGGUCUUCCUGCACUUUCAAGGCUGAUUUGCCCCACACAAACCUCUUUGGAAAUAUGAUUACAUGUGAAAUUAGUGAUCCAGGACUACUUCAAUAGCAACAAAGUAAAAUUGCAGUGUUGAUGUAGUUAAAAUGUUACCGAGCAUCAAUAGAGAGGAGACCUAAAGAAGGAGAAGACAGCAGUGGUACUCAGCUGCUGAGACCUCUAAUUCCAGAUUGUUCCUAGAUGGGUGAAAAAACCCUUCCCAGUCUGGAGGAAGGAACUGCAAAAUCUUACUACCCAGGCUGGGAGGAAUUUGUGUGCGCGCUUUGCAAUUCACCACACCAUCAUUUUCCCAUUCAUCUUUGGGGCCAUCUUUUUUUGUUUGUUUGUUUGUUUAUUAAAUGUUGUUUUCAGGGGUCUCAAAAUUCUGUGCCUAAGUUUUGGUCAAGUUGUUUCCAUUACAAAGUGUUUAUUUUAAAUGCUAAUAAUUUAAAAUUUCCCCCCUCCCCGGCUCAGUGGUAAAGAAUCUGCCUGCCAGUGCAGGAGAC